rnacentral:misc_RNA from 1 species
CGCACAUUGCGCCCAUUAGUAUUCUAGUGGGCAUGCCUGUUCGAGCGUCAUUUCAACCCUCAAGCCCAGCUUGGUGUUGGGGGAGUUCUACCCGGUAGGACCCCCCGAAAAAUAUUGGCGGUGCUCGUCGGUGCUCCAUACGCAGUAAUUUUCAAUCUCGUGUGGGUGCCGGCGGUGCUGUGCCUGCCAUGGAACCCCCAAAAAAAAUGUACGGUUGACCUCGGAUCAGGUAGGAAUACCCGCUGAACUUAA